rnacentral:rRNA from 1 species
CGGAUUGGAGUCUGCAACUCGACUCCAUGAAGUCGGAAUCGCUAGUAAUCGUAGAUCAGAAUGCUACGGUGAAUACGUUCCCGGGCCUUGUACACACCGCCCGUCACACCAUGGGAGUGGGUUGCAAAAGAAGUAGGUAGCUUAACCUUCGGGAGGGCGCUUACCACUUUGUGAUUCAUGACUGGGGUGAAGUCGUAACAAGGUAACCGUAGGGGAACCUGCGGUUGGAUCACCUCCUUACCUUAAAGAA